rnacentral:rRNA from 1 species
UACGUAGGGUGCAAGCGUUAAUCGGAAUUACUGGGCGUAAAGCGUGCGCAGGCGGUUUUGUAAGUCAGAUGUGAAAUCCCCGGGCUUAACCUGGGAACUGCGUUUGAAACUACAAGGCUAGAGUGUGACAGAGGGGGGUGGAAUUCCACGUGUAGCAGUGAAAUGCGUAGAGAUGUGGAGGAACACCGAUGGCGAAGGCAGCCCCCUGGGUUAACACUGACGCUGAGGAGCGAAAGCGUGGGGAGCGAACAGG